rnacentral:rRNA from 1 species
CGUAUGUAACCUACCUUUAUCAGGGGGAUAGCCUCUCGAAAGAGAGAUUAAGCCCGCAUAACAUCACAUUAUGGCAUCAUGGAGUGAUCAAAUAUUUAUAGGAUAAAGAUGGGCAUGCGGAACAUUAGCUAGUUGGUAAGGUAAUGGCUUACCAAGGCUACGAUGUUUAGGGGAUCUGAGAGGAUGACCCCCCACACUGGUACUGAGACACGGACCAG